ACUGCUAUCGGAUUGAUACUAAGCCAAGCGAGUCUUUGUAGCAAUACAAGGCGGACGGCUCAGUAACACGUAGUCAAUCUAACCUAUGGACGAGGAUAACCUCGGGAAACUGAGAAUAAUACUCGAUAGAUCAUUAUACCUGGAAUGGUUUAUGGUCCAAAUGAAUUUCGCCAUAGGGUGGGACUGCGGUCUAUCAGCUUGUUGGUGAGGUAAUGGCCCACCAAGGCUAUAACAGAUACGGGCUCUGAGAGGAGAGGCCCGGAGAUGGGUACUGAGACACGGACCCAGGCCCUAUGGGGCGCAGCAGGCGAGAAAACUUUGCAAUGUGCGAAAGCACGACAAGGUUAAUCCGAGUGGUUCCUGCUAAAGGAAUCUUUUGUUAGUCGUAACACCACUGAUGAAUAAGGGGUGGGCAAGUUCUGGUGUCAGCCGCCGCGGUAAAACCAGCACCUCAAGUGGUCAGGAGGAUUAUUGGGCCUAAAGCAUCCGUAGCCGGCUUUGUUAGUUUUCGGUUAAAUCUAUAUGCUCAACAUAUGGGCUGCCGGGAAUACUGCAAAGCUAGGGAGUGGGAGAGGUAGACGGUACUCCGUAGGAAGGGGUAAAAUCCUUUGAUCUAUGGAUGACCACCUGUGGCGAAGGCGGUCUACCAGAACACGUCCGACGGUGAGGGAUGAAAGCUGGGGGAGCAAACCGGAUUAGAUACCCGGGUAGUCCCAGCUGUAAACUAUGCAAACUCAGUGAUGCAUUGGCUUGUGGCCAGUGCAGUGCCGCAGGGAAGCCGUUAAGUUUGCCGCCUGGGAAGUACGUACGCAAGUAUGAAACUUAAAGGAAUUGGCGGGGGAGCACCACAAGGGGUGAAG
rnacentral:rRNA from 1 species